CUGCUACUCCCUCCGUUCGGAAUUACUUGUCUCGAAAAUGGAUGUAUCUAGAACUAAAAUACAUCUAGAUACAUCCAUUUCUACGACAAGUAAUUCCGAACGGAGGGACUACAUA
rnacentral:pre_miRNA from 1 species